ensembl:lncRNA
AAAAAUGAGGAAAGUAGGGAAAAAAGAGGAAAAUUGGGUAAAAAAUGAGGAAAAUGGGUAAAAAUGAGAAUUGUGGCAAAAAAAGCAAAAAAUUCAGAAAUUGGGCGAAUCGAAAUCGGGUGAAAAUUGAGGAAAUCGGGCAAAAGGAGGAAAUUGAGCAAAAACGUGCAGAAAUUUGACCCGAAAAAUGAGAAAAUUGGGCAAAAAAAGAGAAAAUAAUGAGGCGGAAAAGGCGGGAAUUGGAUUCGGGUGGAGGAAAUUGGGUGAAAAAAGGGGAGAAUUGGGCAAAAAGUGAAGAAAUGGGGCAAAAACUGAAGAAAUGGGGCAAAAAGUGAAGAAAUUGGACAAAAGCGGGGACCGCCCCUCCCCCGACCCCCCGCUGCCGUCCGUCUGUCCGUCCUUCAGCCCAUCCCCAUCGGCCGUCCGUCUGUCCCUCCAUCCCCAUUGUCUCCGCGACCCUCCGUCCAUCCCUGCGUCUGUCCGUCUGUCCAUCCUUCUGUCCAUCCGGUUGUCCGUCUGUCCGUCCAUCGCCACAGCCCCGCGUCCUUCCAUCCGUCCCCCUGUCCGUCUGUCCGUCCCCGUGUUCCUCCAUCCAUCCCCACGUCUGUCCGUCCAUCCAUCCGUCCUUCAGUCCGUCACGGUGUCUGUCCGUCAGUCCGUCCAUCCCCACGUCCAUCCGUCUGUCCAUCUGUCCCUGUGGCCCCACGUCCAUCCGUCUGUCCCCACCUCGUCUCAGCCGUUCUCACAUCCAUCUGUCCGUCCAUCCUUCGGUCCACGUCCUCCGUCUGUCCGUCCAUCCCCAUGUCCGUUUGUCCAUCCUUUUGUCCCUGUGUCUGCCUUCGUGUCUGUCCGUCCCCGCAAGUUCGUCUGUCUGUCCUUCUGCUUGUCCCCGCAUCUGUCUGUCCAUCCGUCCCGAUGUCCGUCUGGGCAGCCCUGCGUCCUUCCACCUUGUCCCCCUGUCCAUCUGUCCUUCCCUCCAUCCGUCCCCGUGUCUGUCUGUCUGUCCAUGUGUCCCCGCAGCUGUCCGUCCUCCUGUCCCCGUGUCCGUCUGUCCGUCCCCAUGUCCUUUCGCCCGUUCAUCCCCAUGUCCUCCUGUCUGUCCAUCCAUCCCGGUGUCCUUCUGGCCAUCCUUGUGUCCGUCUGUCUGUCUGUCUGUCCGUCCAUCCCCGUGUCCCCACGUCUGUCCGUCCCCACGUCCCUCCAUCCGUCCCCGUGUCCGUCUGUCCUUCCGUCCAUCCAUCCUCAACGUCCAUCUGUCUGUCCAUCUCCGUGUCCGUCCAUCCAUCCCCACAUCCCGCCAUCUGUCUCCAUGUCUGUCUGUCUGUCUGUCCCCGUGUCUCCGUGUCCUUCCAUCCAUCUGUCCCUGUGUCCGUCUGUCCUUCCAUCCAUCCACCCCCAUGUCCGUCUGUCCCUCUGUCCAUCGCCAUGUCCUUCCAUCCAUCCCCACGUCCGUCUGUCCUUCCACCCAUCCAUGUCCCCAUGUCUGUCCGUCCGUCUCCACAUCCAUCUGUCCGUCCACCCAUCCAUUCCCCACAUCUGUCCAUCCGUCCCCACGUCCGUCUGUCCAUCCCGGUCGCCUUCAGUCUGUCCCCGCGUCCGUCUGUCCUUCCAUCCCUCCCUCCCCGUGUCCGUCUGUCCUCAUGCCCCCCCCAUCACCUCCGUCCGUCCCCGUGUCCGUCUGUCUGUCCACCUCCAUGUCCACCCGUCCAUCCC